GGUGACUGCUGUGUUUGUGCAGGUAAGGGAGACUGGGAGAAAGAUGUUUUAUUUACCCGCUUGAAAUCUAAUGAGGUGUCUUAUAUAUUUAGUUGAGUGGCUGUGUCUCGACCCAGAUUUCUGUGGCCCCAUGGUUGAGUGAAGAUUCAGGGUUCGCCUCUCCCCUGUUUGAGCCCCAGUACAGAGUCAGCCAUCCAUGGACACUGUAAAAUCGGGCCCCAUAUUGAGCAAGAUUAAGUGUCAGACUGCUGCUUUGCCUAAUUCCAGUGUUGUCUGACCACUGGUUUCUGCGUUGAUUUUAUCGUGUCGGCCCGACAUCUCAUGCAUCACAUCCCUGAUGGACCGUUCAACCUUUAAUCGUAUUGAUUGUUUUUUAAUUUAUUGUGACCCUGAACCAACUGACUCUCACUCUUUUCCUUGUUUUAGGCAGCUGGACGACCUACGGGGAGUAGUUGUGGGAUUCACACCACUUUGCAUGUAGGCCGAAAGGGUGGUGGUCACUUGAACAGUGUGUUGUGGUUUUGUCCUUGCAGUGUGAGUUGCAGUGGUAGUGAUCAGUGUGCUCACGUGGUGGUGUCUAUUUGGCUUUGUGAUAGAAUCUCCCCGUAGUAAGUACGCUGCCUACAUAAUUCUCUAACGCUAUUUAGGUUAAGUGUGUUGUAUCUCUGUGGUCACAGUAUUUGUUGUUUUAGCUUUUAUAAACAUUCAGAAAUAAAAAGCUAUUUGUUUUAUU